CAUGCCCCACACCUUGUCUAUCUCUUCAGUGUCCUAAUGAGCUGCAGGUCCUAUGCUGUUUUCCUGGCUCCCAAGAAAGCUUAAAAAGGGACAGCGGAGCAGGGCACAUGGUGUCUCAGGACUGAGUGACACUUUUCAUGAGGGCAACACAUCGUCACACAUCAAAAGUGUCAUAGCUUGUGAAAAACAACAUUAUCAGCAACAUCACUAUGGACGUUCCAGACAUGGAAACCAGUCAUCCAUCUGAUCUACACCAUGUGCAUAUUUCCAUGAGUAAAGUGUGGUAUUUUAUAGGGACGCUCCAACUGAUGUUCGGUGUGGCCCUGAAUGUCCUGUGGACAAUAGUUAUCUCCAAUUCAUCUCAUUAUGAACUUUCUGCAAUACAACUGCACCCUGUAUUGCCCUACGUAUACCUUCUGG